UACGAAGGGGGCUAGCGUUGCUCGGAAUCACUGGGCGUAAAGCGCACGUAGGCGGACUCUUAAGUCAGGGGUGAAAUCCUGGAGCUCAACUCCAGAACUGCCUUUGAUACUGAGAGCCUUGAGUCCGGAAGAGGUAAGUGGAACUGCGAGUGUAGAGGUGAAAUUCGUAGAUAUUCGCAAGAACACCGAUGGCGAAGGCAGGUCUCUGGGCCGAUACUGACGCUGAGGAGCGAAAGCGUGGGGAGCGAACAGG
rnacentral:rRNA from 1 species